GGACAUCCUUCUAAGGAAACAAGAAUAGUCCUCAGGUUUCUGCCUUCUGCAUAACUGGCUUACCAAGCAAAAAGAUGUCACAUGUCAAAGUCUGCUGCCCUUAUGAGUGAGAGUGACGAGACUGCGAGCGUUGUUGGUGCCAGGCAGGAGCCGUCCAUCUGGGAGCAGAACAGCUGCUACUAUCACUGAGAUAAGUAUCUGUUUUGCUGAGGGUUCUGCUCACGGCCCACCUGACUACAGGUAGAGACACCCCGUUACGUGGGGCUGGGUUUGUAAGAAAAGGUUCCUGACUAGCUGUAGUUUUGAGGGAGACACGGUCCCCAUUUUCAGGGGCUGAUGAUUUCUCUGGCUAGGAUCGGUGUGUCCUCGGCAGGAGAAGGUUAGAUCCAUGAGGAUGACUCCAGGUGAGGAAUUGUCCAGGAGCAGCAGCUGAAGGAGAAAGUGGCAGACGCAGACCUGAGGAGCCUGGACAUCCUUCUAAGCAGACAUGAAUGGUCCUCAGAUUUCUGCCUCCCGCACAACUGGCUGUGAGUAAGCGGUCAGUGCUUGGAAUCCCUCAUCUGUACUGGCUCCAGUUUUGUUCAGAGGCUCUGAAUUUCUUCAUUGGACACGGUGCUCUGUGGGAUUCAGACGAGGCAAAGGCACAAGUCUCCUGUGCAGAGUGAGAAUCUUGGAUUGCUGGGUUUAGUACCAAGUGGAGAGUCAGAGUCCACUCCGCACAUGCCAUGGAAAGGGAGCGAGAGCUGGGAGAUUCUAAGCAUUGUUGAUACCAGGGAAGAGCCAUUCAGCUGGGAGUGGAGCAAGGACCACUGUCAGUGAGAUAAGUGUCUUGUUAGGUGAAGGCUCUGCUGUGGUUAUGAGGGAGACAAGGUCCCUAUUUUCAGGGGCUGCUCAGUCCUCUGGCCAGUACCGGUGUGUCCUCUGCAGCGGAAGGUUGGAUCCAGGAGGAUGACUCCAGGUGACAAGUUGCUUGCCUUCCUCCCGUGUUUCUCAUUUUCUUGCUCUCUGUCUCUUUAGUGUGUUGGCCAACGCUCUCUCUUAAUCUGUCCUUUCCUUUCCUUGUGCCAUCUCCCUUCUUAGGACACAGGCAGGCCUGCGAGGUAUGCAUCUCCACAGGUUAGGUCUUGAAAGCCCUGGAGUAGUAGGAGGGGACGAAAACCAUGCGGGGUAGUGGGUGCGAGAGUGGAGCAGUGUCUGUCAGUGUUGAAUCGGUCUCUGUUGAAGUGGGGCUGAUGUAGAUGGGGUGGAAGAGGGAGGCAGGAUUGAGGGCAACAUUUCAAGCACCAUUAGAGCUGUGUGUAGAGAUGGCGCAUGCUUGGCUUUUACAGCUGCACUUCCAGAGGAAUUGUCCAGGAGCUCGAGCCGGAGGAGAAACUGGCAGAGGUGGAUCUGAGCAGCUUGGACAUGGUUCUAACCAGACAGGAACAGUCCUCAGCUUUCUGCCUUCUGAACAACUGGCUGUGAGUAAGAGGAAAAAUAAGUCACAUGUCAGAGUCUACUCCCUCAUGCAAUGGAAAGUGAGUGAGAGCAGCGAGCCUGUGAGCAUUGUUCAUGUCAGGCAAGAGCCGUACAUCUGGGAGCCGAGCAGAGGCCACUGUCAGUGAGAUAAGUGUCUGUUUUGCUGAGGGUUCUGUUAACAGCCCAUCUGACUCCAGGUACAGACACCCUGUUAGCUGGGGCUGGUUUGUCAGAAGAGUUUCCUGACUAGCUGGGGAUACAAGGGAGACAAGGUCCCCAUUUUCAGGGGCUUGUCAUUGCUCUGUUCACAAGCAGUGUGUCCUCCGCAGGAGAAGGUUGGAUCCAGGAGGAUGACUCCAGAUGGUGAGUUACUUGCCUUUC